rnacentral:sRNA from 1 species
CAAUAGCCCCGAUAGAAACGGUUACCCCACAGCAAGCGAUGGGAAAAGCUCUGGCGCGAGGAGUAAUAGUGGAUAGCGGGAAAUAGC